GAGGUAGUGACAAUAAAUCACAAUGCGGGACUGUUAGUCUUGCAAUUGGAUUGAGAACAACGUACAACUCUUAUCGAUAAGCCAUUGGAGGGCAAGUCUGGUGCCAGCAGCCGCGGUAAUUCCAGCUCCAAUAGCGUAUAUUAACGUUGUUGCAGUUAAAAAGCUCGUAGUUGAAGUGAGGGAGUGUGUGUUCAUGAGAGCUAGUCUCGAGUGUUCACAACCUCCCCCCUCCAAUCGGUGUAGUGGGGUAUUCAGUUAUUUCACUACUCCUUUGGUCGUUUACUGUGAGAAAAUUAGAGUGUUCAAAGCGGGCGUUUGUUUGAAUAGAUUAGCAUGGAAUAAUGAUUGAAGGCUUUCGUGUUCGAUUUGAUUGGUUUGUUCAUGGAAGCAAGGUUAAAAGGAACAGUUGGGGGUAUUCAUAUUCACUAGUUAGAGGUGAAAUUCUCGGAUUUAUGGAAGAUGAACAAGGGGUAAAGCAA
rnacentral:rRNA from 1 species